GAUAAACGCUGGCGGCGUGCCUAAUACAUGCAAGUCGAACGAGGAAGACCCAGCUUGCUGGGUUGACCGAGUGGCGAACGGGUGAGUAAUACAUAAGCAACCUGCCCACGGAGACCGGGAUAAUCUCUGGAAACGGGGACUAAAACCGGAUAGGCAGCAAUGAGGCAUCUCAAUGCUGUUAAAGGUGAGAGACACUGGUGGAUGGGCUUAUGGCGCAUUAGUUAGUUGGUGAGGUAAGGGCCCACCAAGACGAUGAUGCGUAGCCGGCCUGAGAGGGUGAACGGCCACAUUGGGACUGAGACACGGCCCAGACUCCUACGGGAGGCAGCAGUAGGGAAUUUUCGGCAAUGGGGGGAACCCUGACCGAGCAACGCCGCGUGAGUGAAGAAGGUCUUCGGAUUGUAAAGCUCUGUUGUAAGGGAAGAACGUCAGGCAGAGGAUGCUUGAGUGACGGUACCUUACCAGAAAGCCACGGCUAACUACGUG
rnacentral:rRNA from 1 species